CCUACGGGUGGCAGCAGUGGGGAAUAUUGGGCAAUGGGCGCAAGCCUGACCCAGCAAUGCCGCGUGAAGGAAGAAGGCUUUCUGGUUGUACACUUCUUUGACAGGGGAAGAGCAGAAGACGGUACCCUGAACACAAUCCACGCCUAACUACGGGCCAGCAGCCGCGGUAAUACGUAGGUGGCAAGCGUUGUCCGGAUUUGCUGGGUGUAAAGGGCGUGUAGCCGGGAAGGCAAGUCAGAUGUGAAAUCUGGAGGCUCAACCUCCAAAUUGCAUUUGAAACUGUUUUUCUUGAGUACGGGAGAGGCAGACGGAAGUCCUUGUGUAGCGGUGAAAUGCGUAGAUAUAAGGAGGAACACCAGUGGCGAAGGCGGUCUGCUGGACAGCAACUGACGGUGAGGCGCGAAAGCGUGGGGAGCAAACAGGAUUAGAUACCCGUGUAGUC
rnacentral:rRNA from 1 species